rnacentral:lncRNA from 1 species
AGGUGCGAUCAUACCAGCAUUAAUGCUUCGGAUCCCAUCAGAACUCUGCAGUUAAUCGUGCUCGGUCGAGAGUAGUACUAGGACGGGUGACCUCCUAGGAAGUCCUUGUGUUGCACCUCUUUUUGCCAAAAUUUUACGUCGUUUUUGAAAAAUAAACUUCGAUUGUAUUUCAUUUUUUCCGUUAAUUUACGCAACCUAAAACUCUAUUCGUUAAUUAGCGUAGUUUGACGUCUUUUUUGAAAAAUAAACUUAGAAAUGCAUAUAUACAAUUACAACGCUUUACUCUCAGGUGCGAUCAUACCAGCACUAAUGCACCGGAUCCCAUCAGAACUCCGCAGUUAAGCGUGCUUGGGCGAGAGUAGUACUAGGAUGGGUGACCUCCUGGGAAGUCCUUGUGUUGCACCUCUUUUUGCCAAAAUUUCUUGUUCUUUUGUUAAUUAGCGUAAUUUUACGUCGUUUUUGAAAAAUAAACUUCGAUUGUAUUUCAUUUUUUUCCGUUAAUUUACGCAACCUAAAACUCUAUUCGUUAAUUAGCGUAGUUUGACGGAUUUUUGGAAAAAUAAACUUAGAAAUGCAUAUAUACAAUUACAACGCUUUACUCUCAGGUGCGAUCAUACCAGCACUAAUGCACCGGACCCAUUAGAACUCCGCAGUUAAGCGUGCUUGGGCAGAGUAGUACUAGGAUCGGUGACCUCCUGGAAGUCCUUGUGUUGCACCUCUUUUUGCCAAAAUUUUACGUCGCUUUUGAAAAAUAAACUUCGAUUGUAUUUCAUUUUUUCCGUUAAUUUACGCAACCUAAAACUCUAUUCGUUAAUUAGCGUAGUUUGACGUCUUUUUUGAAAAAUAAACUUAGAAAUGCAUAUAUACAAUUACAACGCUUUACUCUCAGGUGCGAUCAUACCAGCACUAAUGCACCGGAUCCCAUCAGAACUCCGAAGUUAUGCGUGCUUGGUCGAGAGUAGUACUAGGAUGGGUGACCUACUAGGAAGUCCUUGCGUUGCACCUCUUUUUGCCAAAAUUUCUUGUUCUUUUUGUUAAUUAGCGUAAUUUUACGUCGUUUUUGAAAAAUAAAUUCGAUUGUAUUUCAUUUUUUUCCGUUAAUUUACACAACCUAAAACUCUAUUCGUUAAUUAGCGUAGUUUGACGUAUUUUUUGAAAAACAAACUUAGAAAUGCAUAUAUACAAUUACAACGCUUUACUCUCAGGUGCGAUCAUACCAGCACUAAUGCACCGGAUCCCAUCAGAACUCUGCAGUAAAGCGUGCUUGGGCGAGAGUAGUACUAGGAUGGGUGACCUCCUGGGAAGUCUUGUGUUGCACCUCUUUUUGCCAAAAUUUUACGUCGUUUUUGAAAAAUAAACUUCGAUUGUUUUCAUUUUUUCCGUUAAUUUACGCAACCUAAAACUCUAUUCGUUAAUUAGCGUAGUUUGACGUCUUUUUUGAAAAAUAAACUUAGAAAUGCAUAUAUACAAUUACAACGCUUUACUCUCAGGUGCGAUCAUACCAGCACUAAUGCACCGGAUCCCAUCAGAACUCCGAAGUUAUGCGUGCUUGGUCGAGAGUAGUACUAGGAUGGGUGACCUCCUGGGAAGUCCUUGUGUUGCACCUCUUUUUGCCAAAAGUUUACGUCGUAUUUGAAAAAAAACUUCGAUUGUAUUUCAUUUUUUCCGUUAAUUUACGCAACCUAAAACUCUAUUCGUUAAUUAGCGUAGUUUGACGUCUUUUUUGAAAAAUAAACUUAGAAAUGCAUAUAUACAAUUACAACGCUUUACUCUCAGGUGCGAUCAUACCAGCACUAAUGCUUCGGAUCCCAUCAGAACUCCGCAGUUAAGCGUGCUUGGUCGAGAGUAGUACUAGGAUGGGUGACCUCCUGGAAGUCCUUGUGUUGCACCUCUUUUUGCCAAAAUUUUACGUCGCUUUUGAAAAAUAAACUUCGAUUGUAUUUCAUUUUUUCCGUUAAUUUACGCAACCUAAAACUCUAUUCGUUAAUUAGCGUAGUUUGACGUCUUUUUUGAAAAAUAAACUUAGAAAUGCAUAUAUACAAUUACAACGCUUUACUCUCAGGUGCGAUCAUCCAGCACUAAUGCACCGGAUCCCAUCAAACUCCGCAGUUAAGCGUGCUUGGGCGAGAGUAGUACUAGGAUGGGUGACCUACUAGGAAGUCCUUGCGUUGCACCUCUUUUUGCCAAAAUUUCUUGUUCUUUUUGUUAAUUAGCGUAAUUUUACGUCGUUUUUGAAAAAUAAACUUCGAUUGUAUUUCAUUUUUUCCGUUAAUUUACGCAACCUAAACUCUAUUCGUUAAUUAGCGUAGUUUGACGUUUUUUUGAAAAAUAAACUUAGAAAUGCAUAUAUACAAUUACAACGCUUUACUCUCAGGUGCGAUCAUACCAGCACUAAUGCACCGGAUCCCAUCAGAACUCCGCAGUUAAGCGUGCUUGGGCGAGAGUAGUACUAGGAUGGGUGACCUCCUGGGAAGUCCUUGUGUUGCACCUCUUUUUGCCAAAAUUUUACGUCGUUUUUGAAAAAUAAACUUCAAUUGUAUUUCAUUUUUUCCGUUAAUUUACGCAACCUAAAACUCUAUUCGUUAAUUAGCGUAGUUUGACGUCUUUUUUGAAAAAUAAACUUAGAAAUGCAUAUAUACAAUUACAACGCUUUACUCUCAGUGCGAUCAUACCAGCACUAAUGCACCGGAUCCCAUCAGAACUCCGCAGUUAAGCGUGCUUGGGCGAGAGUAGUACUAGGAUGGGUGACCUACUAGGAAGUCCUUGCGUUGCACCUA